AGCACAUCUUCUACCUCCAGACUUCAACAACCUGAACUCAGGUGUGCUCAACUUGUCUGCAACAACCUUAACCUGUGCUCGAUCUAGUAGGAUCCCUGUGCUUGCACUCAGCCAUGAGCCUACUGUAUGUUAGAGGACCCACUUACCGACCAUAGCACAUACAAGUUUGGCACUCGGUUCAGGUUGUUGCUCCUCGUUCUCUCUUGGAACAACCUCACUGGUGCCAUCCCUGGUGCUACACUAUGCCUACACCGAGCUCCGAUUUCUCAACCUCUCCCACAACGCCUUUGAUUGAGUCCUUCCAGACAACAUCAAUGGGUUAUUACCAUUGAUGACGCACCCCAAAACGUCGACCAACAACUUCAGUGGUGUUGUUGCCGAAGCUCGGCUGACGCCGUCGGCACAACACCACUAAAGUUGUUGGUCAACAGGUUGAGAUGCGUCAUCAAUGGUGAUAGCCCAUUGAUGUCGCCUGGAAGGACUCCAUCGAAGGAGUUGUGUGAGAGGUCGAGAAAUUGGAGCUCGGUGCAGGCAUAUAGCGUAGUACCAGGGAAGGCGCCGGUGAGGUUGUUCCAAGAGAGAUCGAGGAGCGUCAUACUCCUGAGGUUGCUCACCGAUGCCGGCAUGCCGGUGAAUUCUCAUGAGGUACUCCUUCGAUGGGUAUGCAGCUCCCACAAUAAUAUUUGUACAUCAAUACAUGCAAAUUUCCAAUAGAAAUUGUCUCCUGGAAUUCAAACAGAUGUUUUUUGGGAAGGUAAUCCAUUCAGAAGUCAUUUUUGUAACCAUAACUAGCAUCUUUCUCUCUUGUACUACAUACGUAGUGCUAGUUAUUAUUAUGAUCAAGUGCUAUAUUUUUUUUGUUUUCGAGACUUGUAAUGGUCUGAGAAAAUAUGCACAGUGAAUCUGAAUAAGCUGUUAGAUAUGAGUAGGUCAUGGAGCGAUCAUAUUGAAGUGAAUUUCAUAAGAGAAUCCUUUUCUGGAUUUCAUGCAUUUCCUUGAACACAGAUUUGUUUCUAAACAUUAUCUGUUAUGCUUCAUUUUAAUGUAUGCAAAUUUUUAAUAUAAUUUUGUUAGGGAGCUAGUGUUUCUAAGUUCUAACUGCAACUGUCCCUGGAUGAGUAGGCUUGUUCGAAUCUAGUAUCUUCUCUCUUUGUUGUAGUACACUACUUAUGGAAUAUUUGUUAUUAGAAUAAUUUUGUUUCCUAAUAAUUAUCAAAAUGCUUGUAGCAGUUCCUUCGUCCCCCCCCCCCCCCCCCCCCCCCCCAUUCAGUGUAUUGUUGUAUCCCGCAAAAAAAAAGUCUAUAUUGGCGUGACAAAUACUGGUAAGUUACUAUAUUCGUCUAGUUUUUGUUACCCACAAGAGAGUUCGAUGAUCCGAUGGGCUGAAGCUUCUAUGCGUUGGCUAGUACUGUAUAAUACUAAUGUUCUGCAAAGGAGACUGAAUGGCGUGAAGGAAGAGCUGCAGCAACUGCAUCUGUGAGACAAAAAUGAGGAAUGAGAAGUUGGGUUAACUUCUUCACAGGUAGGGGAAGCAAUAGAUCAAGUUCACUGGCCACCGGCUGGCAAUGGCUAAACCGUGUUUGCUUGCUUUUCUUGUCACUGAAGUUGAGACUUCAGUAGUGCUGGUAUUUACAGUUUAGCCCUAUGCUUGAUCCACCCUAUUGGCUCAGAACUGAAUUCAGCACUGCAAGUGCUUCAUAGGAUUAGGGCUGACACCGUGGCAGUAAUUGAUGCAGUAUGCUCUUGUUAUUGUGUUUCUAUCUCUUGUUAACUUUAUCGAUCCAACGAGUACUUGGAAGUUGGACGCGAGUGAGGCUGUGCCGUUCUGUUCCAGACUUUAGAUGUCGUGUCUUCAAAAUUUCAUCGUCUUUGUUUCAACUCCAUCAGCAAUCCGGUGGGAUGUCAGAGCCAAUUACCAAUUUCCCGCGACUUAGUUGUUGUGAAAAGUUUUGACUUGGGAGUUGUUGAAAGCCAUGCUUGUUCGCCGUGUCUUCUUAUCUUGGAUGAUAUAUGUCAAAAAGGGACUCAUAUCUGAGAUCUUUCUAGAAGAUUUAAUUUACAAAAUCUAUAGUUUUUGUAUACUCUUUGAUAGGGUGUAAACUCUCGGACGAGGAAAAUGAUCCAUGUGAAAGAAUCCACUAAGAGGCGGAGAAAAUUCGAGACAUAUGCAAGCACAACACUGGAAAGGACCUUGAGAGAGAGAAAACAAUACAAACAGGUCCCGUAGAACUUCACCAUGAGACCUUGUCAUCGCCCGACGCCUUCCUGGCUUCCUCCAUAGUCGAUGGAGUGCUCGUCAGAGGGGAAACCGAGCAUCCUUUACAUCAGGCAGGUGAGGAGGAUCUUCACUUGUCCGCUCUUGGAGGCCUCAAGAGUGGCUCAAAGGGUUUCUGCUUUGUGGAAUGCGGUAGCAGUACUCUAUCACCGCCCAAGAAACCAAAAAGAGCUAAGAGUUGUAGAUGCAGAAUACAAUAUUAGCCAGUAGUAUUGGUAGUUGGUGCAUCGACAACCAUUGAAGAAUAAAACAGUAGUUGUAGGAAUGGUACUAUGGUAUUGUGUAUUUCAGUUGUAGCAGAGCUUACAUUCCUCUUGAGAGGAAGACGUCCUUUGUACAUUCAUGGCUUAUAAUACUGAGUUUGUAAUUUUGGAUAUGCAA